AGGGGGAUAACUACUGGAAACGGUAGCUAAUACCGCAUAACGUCGCAAGACCAAGGAGGGGGACCUUCGGGCCGUCUUGCCAUCAGAUGUGCCCAGAUGGGAUUAGCUAGUAGGUGGGGUAACGGCUCGACCUAGGCGACGAUCCCUAGCUGGUCUGAGAGGAUGACCAGCCACACUGGAACUGAGACACGGUCCAGACUCCUACGGGAGGCAGCAGUGGGGAAUAUUGGCACAAUGGGCGCAAGCCUGAUGCAGCCAUGCCGCGUGUAUGAAGAAGGCCUUCGGGUUGUAAAGUACUUCAGCGGGGAGGAAGGGAGUAAAGUUAAUACCUUUGCUCAUUGACGUUACCCGCAGAAGAAGCACCGGCUAACUCCGUG
rnacentral:rRNA from 1 species